AUUAAUAGGGACAGUUGGGGGUAUUAAUCAUUAUCUUCAUACGCAAUUUAAACCAAUAAAAUAUAUUGUGAAGAUCCUAUUUUAUUAGUUUAAAUUGCGUAUGAAGAUAAUGAUUAAUAGGGACAGUUGGGGGUAUUCAUAUUGGGUGGUUAGCGGUGAAAUGCUCGGAUCCAUUCAAGAUGAACUAAAGCGAAAGCAUUUUACCAAGGAUGUUUUCAUUAAUCAAGAACGAAAGUUAAGGGGAUCGAAGACGAUUAGAUACCGUCGUAGUCUUAACUAUAAACUAUGCCGACCAGGGAUAUGAGUUGUUAGGAAUAUAUGAAAAUAUAUUCAAUUUCUUCUUUAUGGACCUUGUGAGAAAUCAUAAGUUUUUGGGUUUCUGGGGGGAGGUAUGGUCGCAAGGCUGAAACUUAAAGGAAUUGACGGAGGG
rnacentral:rRNA from 1 species